GAACUGUUGGUUGGAAACUUAGAAGAGAUGUUAUUAGUAAUAGAAAUUUGAGGUGAAAGAAUGGGCGUUGAUGAACAACGAAAAUGACCAGAACCACCCCUGGGAGAGGAAAAGGAAAGAGGGUAUAAUAGUAAUUGUGAGAAAAGAAAAAGAGGAUUUGGGAGCUUCCUUCUCUGGCCCUCAACUGGUCGUUAGUCCAGCGCCUUGAAAUCGGAUGGGCAGUACGAAAUUAUUCCCUCACGUCCUUUCCUUCCACCAGCUCCCAUGUCUGCUGCUCCACACAAAACUGCAUUUCUUCACACUUCGACAUUCACUCACCCUGUUCUUGCAGCGCCAAAUGCCAGCCAUGUGAUGCAAUUUUGCAACACCUCUUUCGUACAUUCUUGUUUUCUCUCUAUAAUUUUACGGUUUCUUUGCUUGUUUCUCCUUUGUCCAUUCUUGUUCGUCCAUUUCUUCGCUUUAAUUAUUUCUCCUUCCUCCUCCUCCUUCUCCUCAAUUCUAUUAUGGUAUCCUCGGAUUUGACUCUUCGUCGUAUCUCUCUAACUCUGAACUGAUCUCUUCUCCUUUCUUCUGGUUCAUUAUUGCUCUUGAUGCUUUCAGAUUCAACUAUGGCUCAGCAGAAAGAUGGAUGGCCAUUAGGCUUGCGGCUUAUGAAUGAUAGAAUGGCGGAAAAUCAUGAUCUCUCUGCGUCGGUUUCUUUCAAUACUUUGCGUACUCAUUCUCCCAGUUCCUUCACCGACUCUUCCUCAGAUCUUGAUACAGAGGUCACUUACUUCCAUUUGCUCUUUUUCUUCUGUUUUUCUUUUGUUUGUGUUGCUGUUUGUGCGUUAGCAUUAUGCUUGGUGUGUGCUGAGGAAGACUUGGAUAAUGGUUUAUUAUUUUGUUCAAUUAUGCAAAUACAUUACACUGGGUCGCGUCACAAUUAGGAGCAUGACUGCUUUUCUUUGUCUUAUUUUUUUGAAGGGACUGAGUUGAAGUAGUUACAGCCUACCUUCUUUCAAAAUGCGUAUACAUUUUCUUGAGAGCUCUAGGCUAUAGCUAGCAUAGGCAUAGGAUGUGUUAGUGUCUACGAUUCGAGUCCUACUCUUUGUACCCAAAAAUAAAGCUAUAUGAAGUAGGCCUUGUUUGAAUCUUUGUAAUGACUUUACUUGUGUUUUUCAAGUGCAAAUAAAGUAUUUUUGAGUAUUUACAAAGUCAAUCUAAACAGUCAUUAAUUUGAAUUGAAACUAAACAGUAAACUGUAAAAUUUCACUCCAAAAGUUUCUGGGUUUUUAGGCACUCUCACUGUCACUCAUCACUUUUCCUUCUUGUCCUCGCUCUCACUUUUUGCUCUAGCUUCUUAUUUGUCCCUCUUCCUCCCCUAUCCCAACAAGGAUUCAAUAGGAGUGCUGCCAUAAAAGGAGAGAGGGGAAAAGAGCAAGAACAAGAGGGUAAUUAAGAAUAUCAAAAAAGUCAACUGCAUCAUUCUACCACGACAAGAGCAUCACGCUCGGAAGUCUCAUUGGAGUCUCAAGCAUUUUCGAGCUAUCACAAAGAUCAACGGAAGGCAACAAGGUGGAAAUACUCGAAGACAAAAAGAAGUACAAGUCCAAGCCAUGGUUAUUUUCUUUAUCUUUAUGCAUUAAACUCCGCCCUGAUGCUGUGAGCUUGAGCAGCUCUCCUUCACUUGAGCACUCUCUUGAAGCAGAAAGAAAAACUACACGAAAUCACAGGAUUCACAACCCGACCCUUUAUGGACCCAAUGAUUACUCACCUAUUCGUCCUGUUUCUGAAACAAAUGCUUUGUUUUCCAGUGAACAAGUUGCUCCUGUGUCAUUCGCACUGGCGGGCAAAGAAGAAAGCAGAAGAUCAGAUGGAGAACUUGUUCAAGGUGGUAACAGUCAAGGGAUUCCUCUACUCUUUUCAUGUCUAUAUUGCCAACUGAUUAAAUAAUUCUUUCUUUGAUUCGUAGCUUCAUGGAAAAAUGAUGCAUGUCAAAUGUUAUAUGGUCAUUUGUUUCAUCCUACCAUUUCAUUUGUAGGGAGACUUACUUACCAUAAUCAUCGUUGAGCCAUUGUGUUUGGAUCAGACAAAUCAAGGCAUUCAUUGCUGCUAAGUUAGUGAACCACUUUUGAUUGAUCCAUAAAAUCAUAACCGUUAAGUGGUAACCA